ACUCAGCAGCAAUGCUAGUGAAACUUAAGGUAAUCCCUUAAAAUAACUGGGUUGAUAAAACCUAAAUUUUCAACGAUGGAUGUCUAGGUUCCCACAACGAUGAAGAACGCAGCGAAAAUGCGAUAUGCAGUGUGAAUUGCAGAACCACGAAUCAUCGGAUCUUUGAACGCAACUAGCGCUAGUAAAACUAGCAUGUUUGGUUCAGUGUGCGCAACCAACUAACUAAGCUAAAUGUAGGAGAAGUUCUCUUAUAAAGAUCAUGCUCUCAGCAGCAGUCACAGAAAUGUGAGCUUCUGGGUGAAUAGUUACUUAUUUGCACCUGAACUCAAGCAAGAUGACCCGCUGGACUUAAGCAUAUUAUUAAGCGGAGGAAAAGAAAUUAACAAAGAUUCCCUUAGUAAGGGCGACUGAACCGGGAAAAGCUCAAAAUUGGAAUCAUUGGUUCAAAGAACCUCUGAAUUGUAAUCAGGACAGCCUAAAUACUGAAAUUAGCUCAACAGGAUUGAAAGCCUGGUCAAAGAGGGUGCGAACCCCGUACAGUUAGCUUCAGAGUAAGGUUGGAUCCACAAGAGUCGGGUUGCUUGGAACUGCAGCCCUAAAGGGAGAUAUGAUUCUUCCAAAGCUAAAUAUGGGUGGGAAACCGAUAGUGAACAAGUACUGUGAAGGAAAGAUGAAAAGGACUUUGAAAAGAGAGUGAAAAGAUCUGAAAUCGUUGAGAAGGAAGCGGUAAAACUGACGAACGUACUGAAAGUAUAAUGCGGUAAUAACGCAGAGUGCUUACCAGAACGCUGGGCAAAAUCAAGUUUGUAGCGUCAAAAAAGGUGCAAGCCGGACAGGACGUAACAAGCUUGAGGGACUACGGUGAUUUUGCCAAAAUGGUCUUUACCGUCCCGUCUUGAAACACGGACCAAGGAGUCUAUCCUAUAUGC
rnacentral:rRNA from 1 species